rnacentral:rRNA from 1 species
AUAGGUUAAUGAGGCGAACCGGGGGAACUGAAACAUCUAAGUACCCCGAGGAAAAGAAAUCAACCGAGAUUCCCCCAGUAGCGGCGAGCGAACGGGGAGCAGCCCAGAGCCUGAAUCAGUGUGUGUGUUAGUGGAAGCGUCUGGAAAGGCGUGCGAUACAGGGUGACAGCCCCGUACACAAAAAUGCACAUACUGUGAGCUCGAUGAGUAGGGCGGGACACGUGGUAUCCUGUCUGAAUAUGGGGGGACCAUCCUCCAAGGCUAAAUACUCCUGACUGACCGAUAGUGAACCAGUACCGUGAGGGAAAGGCGAAAAGAACCCCGGCGAGGGGAGUGAAAAAGAACCUGAAACCGUGUACGUACAAGCAGUGGGAGCACGCUUAGGCGUGUGACUGCGUACCUUUUGUAUAAUGGGUCAGCGACUUAUAUUCUGUAGCAAGGUUAACCGAAUAGGGGAGCCGAAGGGAAACCGAGUCUUAACUGGGCGUUAAGUUGCAGGGUAUAGACCCGAAACCCGGUGAUCUAGCCAUGGGCAGGUUGAAGGUUGGGUAACACUAACUGGAGGACCGAACCGACUAAUGUUGAAAAAUUAGCGGAUGACUUGUGGCUGGGGGUGAAAGGCCAAUCAAACCGGGAGAUAGCUGGUUCUCCCCGAAAGCUAUUUAGGUAGCGCCUCGUGAAUUCAUCUCCGGGGGUAGAGCACUGUUUCGGCAAGGGGGUCAUCCCGACUUACCAACCCGAUGCAAACUGCGAAUACCGGAGAAUGUUAUCACGGGAGACACACGGCGGGUGCUAACGUCCGUCGUGAAGAGGGAAACAACCCAGACCGCCAGCUAAGGUCCCAAAGUCAUGGUUAAGUGGGAAACGAUGUGGGAAGGCCCAGACAGCCAGGAUGUUGGCUUAGAAGCAGCCAUCAUUUAAAGAAAGCGUAAUAGCUCACUGGUCGAGUCGGCCUGCGCGGAAGAUGUAACGGGGCUAAACCAUGCACCGAAGCUGCGGCAGCGACGCUUAUGCGUUGUUGGGUAGGGGAGCGUUCUGUAAGCCUGUGAAGGUGUGCUGUGAGGUAUGCUGGAGGUAUCAGAAGUGCGAAUGCUGACAUAAGUAACGAUAAAGCGGGUGAAAAGCCCGCUCGCCGGAAGACCAAGGGUUCCUGUCCAACGUUAAUCGGGGCAGGGUGAGUCGACCCCUAAGGCGAGGCCGAAAGGCGUAGUCGAUGGGAAACAGGUUAAUAUUCCUGUACUUGGUGUUACUGCGAAGGGGGGACGGAGAAGGCUAUGUUGGCCGGGCGACGGUUGUCCCGGUUUAAGCGUGUAGGCUGGUUUUCCAGGCAAAUCCGGAAAAUCAAGGCCGAGGCGUGAUGACGAGGCACUACGGUGCUGAAGCAACAAAUGCCCUGCUUCCAGGAAAAGCCUCUAAGCAUCAGGUAACAUCAAAUCGUACCCCAAACCGACACAGGUGGUCAGGUAGAGAAUACCAAGGCGCUUGAGAGAACUCGGGUGAAGGAACUAGGCAAAAUGGUGCCGUAACUUCGGGAGAAGGCACGCUGAUACGUAGGUGAAGCGACUUGCUCGUGGAGCUGAAAUCAGUCGAAGAUACCAGCUGGCUGCAACUGUUUAUUAAAAACACAGCACUGUGCAAACACGAAAGUGGACGUAUACGGUGUGACGCCUGCCCGGUGCCGGAAGGUUAAUUGAUGGGGUUAGCGCAAGCGAAGCUCUUGAUCGAAGCCCCGGUAAACGGCGGCCGUAACUAUAACGGUCCUAAGGUAGCGAAAUUCCUUGUCGGGUAAGUUCCGACCUGCACGAAUGGCGUAAUGAUGGCCAGGCUGUCUCCACCCGAGACUCAGUGAAAUUGAACUCGCUGUGAAGAUGCAGUGUACCCGCGGCAAGACGGAAAGACCCCGUGAACCUUUACUAUAGCUUGACACUGAACAUUGAGCCUUGAUGUGUAGGAUAGGUGGGAGGCUUUGAAGUGUGGACGCCAGUCUGCAUGGAGCCGACCUUGAAAUACCACCCUUUAAUGUUUGAUGUUCUAACGUGGACCCGUGAUCCGGGUUGCGGACAGUGUCUGGUGGGUAGUUUGACUGGGGCGGUCUCCUCCUAAAGAGUAACGGAGGAGCACGAAGGUUGGCUAAUCCUGGUCGGACAUCAGGAGGUUAGUGCAAUGGCAUAAGCCAGCUUGACUGCGAGCGUGACGGCGCGAGCAGGUGCGAAAGCAGGUCAUAGUGAUCCGGUGGUUCUGAAUGGAAGGGCCAUCGCUCAACGGAUAAAAGGUACUCCGGGGAUAACAGGCUGAUACCGCCCAAGAGUUCAUAUCGACGGCGGUGUUUGGCACCUCGAUGUCGGCUCAUCACAUCCUGGGGCUGAAGUAGGUCCCAAGGGUAUGGCUGUUCGCCAUUUAAAGUGGUACGCGAGCUGGGUUUAGAACGUCGUGAGACAGUUCGGUCCCUAUCUGCCGUGGGCGCUGGAGAACUGAGGGGGGCUGCUCCUAGUACGAGAGGACCGGAGUGGACGCAUCACUGGUGUUCGGGUUGUCAUGCCAAUGGCACUGCCCGGUAGCUAAAUGCGGAAGAGAUAAGUGCUGAAAGCAUCUAAGCACGAAACUUGCCCCGAGAUGAGUUCUCCCUGACCCUUUAAGGGUCCUGAAGGAACGUUGAAGACGACGACGUUGAUAGGCCGGGUGUGUAAGCGCAGCGAUGCGUUGAGCUAACCGGUACUAAUGAACCGUGAGGCUUAACCUUACAACGCCGAAG